GGGGGUGUACUUCAGUGGUAGAGUACAUGUUUAGCACGCAUGAGGCCCUGAGCUCCACCCCAGCAUCCUCU
rnacentral:tRNA from 1 species